rnacentral:rRNA from 1 species
UACGAAGGGGGCUAGCGUUGUUCGGAUUUACUGGGCGUAAAGCGCACGUAGGCGGAUCGAUCAGUCAGGGAUGAAAUCCCAGAGCUCAACUCUGGAACUGCCUUUGAUACUGUCGAUCUGGAGUAUGGAAGAGGUGAGUGGAAUUCCGAGUGUAGAGGUGAAAUUCGUAGAUAUUCGGAGGAACACCAGUGGCGAAGGCGGCUCACUGGCCCGAUACUGACGCUGAGGCACGAAAGCGUGGGGAGCAAACAGG